rnacentral:rRNA from 1 species
UACGAAGGGGGCUAGCGUUGCUCGGAAUUACUGGGCGUAAAGGGAGCGUAGGCGGACAUUUAAGUCAGGGGUGAAAUCCCGGGGCUCAACCUCGGAAUUGCCUUUGAUACUGGGUGUCUUGAGUAUGAGAGAGGUAUGUGGAACUCCGAGUGUAGAGGUGAAAUUCGUAGAUAUUCGGAAGAACACCAGUGGCGAAGGCGACAUACCGGCUCAUUACUGACGCUGAGGCUCGAAAGCGUGGGGAGCAAACAGG